GUCCGGUUGGACCCGCCGGCACGCGUGCGCGUGUGCAGUUCCGCGGGUCACGCUGGGUUUUCAGAGCCCCGGCGGUACAGCCGUCGGGUCCCCUGUCUCACCAAGAACGUGGAAGACUCCGAGCCACUCAUUUAUUCGUGCCGAGGCGAGCAGGGACACGGGUGGGAGGAGAGCGGUCUCAGUCUCAGCUUCUGCACCUCGACUCGCACUUCUGUAAAGUGGGGGCCCAUCGCAGUCCUGCUCUCAAGAUCGCACCAGGUGGCUCCUGGAAGGUGCCAGGCCUCGUGGGCCUCAGUACAUCUUGGGUGGCUGGUGUUUCCCGCCGCCGUCCCCUCCAGUGCCCGAGCCCCCGUGGGGAGGGUCUGUUCUCCCGGCCUCACCUUCCAGAGGGGAAAGCCCCAGCUGGAAAGGUCACGUGACCGGGGUCACCCGGCGACCGCUGAGAGGUCAGGCCCCAAGGUCGUCCUGACCGGGAAGCCCCUCCAGCAGCCCACCCUGUGCCCCCACUGUCACGGUCGCUCUUUGUACGGACACACACAAGUUUUAGGAGGAACUAGCUCAAGGGAGCCGGCGAAGCCCCGCCAUCUCGGGCUCCCGAGGGCUGGGGGAUUCUGGCGGGUGGGUUGCGAGUGCGGGUCCCACUGUGGGCUCAGCGCUUGUGGUGUUGAGUGACUGCGGGUUAGAUCCUGGGGACUGAAUCCCGGCGCCUGGCACGGGCUAGGCAAGCACCCAGCUCAACGUACAGACCUUUUUGUUUUAUUUUGCCCCGGUUGUCCUCCAACUUGGCCAUUCUCCUGCCUCAGCCUUCUCUGACCAACCGGAAUCACAGGCAUGUGCCACUGUCCUCAGCUGUUAGAUCUUUUCUAAGUAAGAUCUGUGAAUUAAAAAAUUCAAGUUGGAAAGGGUGACACAUGAUUUCAGAAUGACAGGAAGAAACUUUGCCUGAGGAGGAGGGACAGUACACUGGGGGCCACCUUCUUUGCCCAAUGAGCCAUACACUUGAAGGAUGGGGGUGAGAUCUCCCACAGAAUAAUUGACCUUAACUUCCUGAUGCUGAGACCAAGGCUGUGACAGCAGUGAUCUUCGCUGCAAACCAGAGCCUGAAACUGGCGGAUUUAGGCAGAAGUGGAAUUCAUGAAAGAAUGGUUCCGGGCACAGAGAGCUGCUGAGAGGGUGGAGAGCUGGGCACAGACCUGGGGAGUAGGGGAGGAAAAGUCUCCACCACCCGUAGGACUUCAACCCACUGUGCCCACGCCCUCGGUGGUCCCUUUCAGCAAUGCCAGGGCCUGUCGAGGGUGCUCUGUGGACUCCCACAGCCUGCGUCCCACCAGCUGGUCGCCGUCCUCCAUGCUAAGUGACUCCCCUGAACAAACAGCACAGCCCCAGGAUCACAUAUCACUCCACACCAGAAGCCUCAGCCCGACUCGGAGAAGAGGGUCUAUGUGAAAAGCUGCCUCCAAGUGGCAAUCUGUC